GGUUUUUUNNNNNNNGCUNACNUCAUUCANUUUUUNAACGUGCNUUAAGGCCCUUCGGGGNUACACGAGACGGCGAACGGGUGAGUAACACGUGAGCAACCUGCCCCUGACUCCGGGAUAAGCGGUGGAAACGCCGUCUAAUACCGGAUACGACCCGCCACCUCAUGGUGGAGGGUGGAAAGUUUUUCGGUCAGGGAUGGGCUCGCGGCCUAUCAGCUUGUUGGUGGGGUAACGGCCUACCAAGGCGAUUACGGGUAGCCGGCCUGAGAGGGCGACCGGCCACACUGGGACUGAGACACGGCCCAGACUCCUGCGGGAGGCAGCAGUGGGGAAUAUUGCGCAAUGGGCGAAAGCCUGACGCAGCGACGCCGCGUGGGGGAUGACGGCCUUCGGGUUGUAAACCUCUUUUACCACCAACGCAGGCUCGGAGUUUUCUUCGGGUUGACGGUAGGUGGGGAAUAAGGACCGGCUAACUACGUGCCAGCAGCCGCGGUAAUACGUAGGGUCCGAGCGUUGUCCGGAAUUAUUGGGCGUAAAGAGCUCGUAGGCGGCGUGUCGCGUCUGCUGUGAAAGACCGGGGCUUAACUCCGGUUCUGCAGUGGAUACGGGCAUGCUAGAGGUAGGUAGGGGAGACUGGAAUUCCUGGUGUAGCGNUGAAAUGCGCAGAUAUCAGGAGGAACACCGGUGGCGAAGGCGGGUCUCUGGGCCUUACCUGACGCUGAGGAGCGAAAGCAUGGGGAGCGAACAGGAUUAGAUACCCUGGGUAGUCCNNUGCCGUAAACGUUGGGGCGCUAGGUGUGGGGACUUUUCCACGGUUUUCCGCGCCGUANCUUAACGCAUUAAGCGCCCC
rnacentral:rRNA from 1 species